rnacentral:rRNA from 1 species
GAUGAACGCUGGCGGCGUGCCUAAUACAUGCAAGUCGAGCGAACAGAUGAGGAGCUUGCUCCUCUGACGUUAGCGGCGGACGGGUGAGUAACACGUGGAUAACCUACCUAUAAGACUGGGAUAACUUCGGGAAACCGGAGCUAAUACCGGAUAAUAUAUUGAACCGCAUGGUUCAAUAGUGAAAGACGGUUUUGCUGUCACUUAUAGAUGGAUCCGCGCCGCAUUAGCUAGUUGGUAAGGUAACGGCUUACCAAGGCGACGAUGCGUAGCCGACCUGAGAGGGUGAUCGGCCACACUGGAACUGAGACACGGUCCAGACUCCUACGGGAGGCAGCAGUAGGGAAUCUUCCGCAAUGGGCGAAAGCCUGACGGAGCAACGCCGCGUGAGUGAUGAUGGUCUUCGGAUCGUAAAACUCUGUUAUUAGGGAAGAACAAAUGUGUAAGUAACUAUGCACGUCUUGACGGUACCUAAUCAGAAAGCCACGGCUAACUACGUG